ACAUUGGUGGUUCAGUGGUAGAAUUCUCGCCUUCCAUGCAGGAAACCUAGGUUUGAUUUCCAGCUGGUGCA
rnacentral:tRNA from 1 species